GGCUCCGUAGCGUAAUGGCUAACGCAUUGCUUUCCGGUUUAUGGUCGCCUGGCAAAGACUGUGGGUUCGAGUCCCAUCGGGGUCG